GAGAGUUAAAUAGUACGUGAAAUUGUUGAAAGGGAAACGAUUGAAGUCAGUCAUGCUAGUGAAAAAUCAGUUUGACGGGUUUUGAGUUCGGAGUAGAGGCAGGGUCAAACCGUUUCUCUUUUGGACUUGGGAUUUGUUAGAUGUACUUUUUCUUUGGCAGGUCAGCGUCGAUUUUGGAGGUUGUAAAAUACUUGGGGGAAAGUAACUCUGCUUCGGGAGAGUAUUAUAGACCCUGGGGGAUGCAGCCUGUGGGAUCGAGGAUUGCAGCAAAUGCCUUUGGCUUGUCGCCUGAUCUUUGAUUGUUACCUUGUUUAUGACAACAUUCUUGUCAUCGAUGAGUACUAACGGUUAUGGGUUAGAACGAUCAAAAAUUUGCUAAGGAUGCUGACGUAAUGGCUUUAAACGA
rnacentral:rRNA from 1 species